CUACGUGCCAGCAGCCGCGGUAAUACGUAGGUCCCGAGCGUUGUCCGGAUUUAUUGGGCGUAAAGCGAGCGCAGGCGGUUAGAUAAGUCUGAAGUUAAAGGCUGUGGCUUAACCAUAGUACGCUUUGGAAACUGUUUAACUUGAGUGCAAGAGGGGAGAGUGGAAUUCCAUGUGUAGCGGUGAAAUGCGUAGAUAUAUGGAGGAACACCGGUGGCGAAAGCGGCUCUCUGGCUUGUAACUGACGCUGAGGCUCGAAAGCGUGGGGAGCAAACAGGAUUAGAUACCCUGGUAGUCCACGCCGUAAACGAUGAGUGCUAGGUGUUAGACCCUUUCCGGGGUUUAGUGCCGCAGCUAACGCAUUAAGCACUCCGCCUGGGGAGUACGACCGCAAGGUUGAAACUCAAAGGAAUUGACGGGGGCCCGCACAAGCGGCGGAGCAUGCGGAUUAAUUCGAUGCAACGCGAAGAACCUUACCAAGGCU
rnacentral:rRNA from 1 species